AGUGGACAGAGGCAAAGAAUGCUGCUAAACAUCCCACAGUACUUGGGACAGCCUCCCGCAGCAAAAACUUAUCCAGCCCCAAAUGUUAAUAGUGCUGAGGUUGAGAAAUUCUGGUGUCAGAGAUCAGAGAGGAACAAAGGCUUAUAAAGACUCCUCCCCUCCAAUAGCUCUUGGUCCAGGGGGGCCAUGAUAACAAGGCAUGUGGAAUGCUGUGUGCGAGACAGGGAGAGCACUAUACGGACAAAGCCAAGAGACCCCGAACAGAAGAGGCUCCUGGUGCAGCUAGUGGCUGAGCUGGUGCUUCAAGGACACAUAUGGUCUUCGGGCAAAUUCUACACCUGUCUGCAUGGAGUCUGCAGACCUCUGUUUGGAAGGAGGAACCAGAGGAAACUACUGGAGAAAUACCAUGGCUGGGUUUGGUGUUUCAGGAUUAUCUUCCUGGCUUCUGUGUGCAGUGUAUUCAGAAGGUAAGCAAUGUUUAUACAUGUUGUGUAAGCACUUGACCUCUGGGAUGUGUGCCCCACCAGACCUGGUAUAGGGAGUGUGUUUAUUAACCAUUGUGUCCCUACUUCAGCCUGGUGUGCAGUCAGCACUCACUCCAUUUUUGAAUGAAAGGAUGUUGUUUCCAGUCUUACAUUAGACCCUGAGGCUGAAGAAGAGAGAGGCAAACCCUAUUCUCCUGCAGUGAACAGACUGGCAGGUCCAUAGCAGCAUUAUGGACAGAUAGAAUGGUUCGCAUAAAUAAGACGGAAGGUAGCAAGGAUCAGAAAUGGUGUGGGGCCUGGGAAUCUAUAUUUUAAACUAGUUCCUUGACUACUUCUGAUGUCCAGGGGCUGGCAUUUGGAAAACCUUGUUUGCCAAUCAGAGACGACCCCAAGUUUGAUUAUCUUACUAAGAUCAAGGUCUCAACCUUCUUACACUGACUAUUCUUGAUCCCUAUCCCUUGGGGUCUCUAAGUCCCUUGACUCACUGCCCCUGAGCAGUGAGUGACCCCAAAUUCUUGAUCCUGCUUGGAUCCUCUGAUCAACCCUGGAGCAAUACAGGUCCUUCAUAGCCCAUGAACCCUAAGGGGAGCAUCUCUCCUUGACAUUGAGGGAGAGGUUUGUUUCUGAUAUCCACCUCUCUACACUCCCCCCAACACUCUUGGCUCCCUCCUAGCUGUAGCACUGCACUCCUGAGCCUGCAUGAUCUCUUGAAGACACCUACGAGACAAAGUACAUUUAUGUUUUCAUGUAAGCUGUGUACGCUUUAAAGCUGUUUGGUGUUUGAUGUUAAAUUUAAAAAAAGAGAGAAAGAGGACUAUGUUUUCUUUUAGGAGAGGCUGUGAGACUUUCCUUCAUUUCGUCCUGGAGAGAGUUUCCUGUGGAAAUGAAAGGGGAAAAGUCUCUGAUUGACUUGUUUGCGGCAUGCCUGCAUGCUUAGUCAUUUGUCGUGUCCACCUCUUUGCAACCUUAUGGACUGUAGGCCACCA
rnacentral:lncRNA from 1 species